rnacentral:rRNA from 1 species
UACGAAGGUGGCAAGCGUUGUUCGGAUUUACUGGGCGUACAGGGAGCGUAGGCGGUUGGAUAAGCCCUCCGUGAAAUCUCCAGGCUUAACCUGGAAAGUGCAGAGGGGACUGUUCAGCUAGAGGAUGGGAGAGGAGCGCGGAAUUCCGGUGUAGCGGUGAAAUGCGUAGAGAUCGGGAGGAAGGCCGGUGGCGAAGGCGGCGCUCUGGAACAUUUCUGACGCUGAGGCUCGAAAGCGUGGGGAGCAAACAGGG